CAUUGAGUGGACUCACUUGGGAUUUUGUCCAGACUGACUGGAUAGGGCUGCAUAGUGAGGCGUACUUACUCUGUCAGAGGACCACAGUCCCUUUGGCAUAUGGACACAAACCACAAACUUAUCAGAUUCAACAUAGUCAUUUUUGGAGCUGUUGAUGGGUACUCCAGGAAGGUUAUGUGUUUGGAAGCUGCAACAAACAACUGUGCAGCAACUGCUUUUGCUGCCUUCAAAAGAGCUACUGACCGUCAUUGCGUACCCUCAAGG